GCUAACAGGCUACAUAUUUUUUAGCAUAAAGUUGUGUCGCUAAUGGUGGUAGCAUGUUGGAGCAUCUCUGAUGUUAUUUUUCUUUUUUGGUUGACAUGUUGAAUAUUUGGACGGUUAUUGCCUCUGAUUUCUGGAUUCUGUGUGGCUAGAAGGAUUUUUUUUAAUCUCCUUUUUGCUUUUAGACAGUUGUUACAUGCAUAACCGUGGCAACAAGUUAGUAUUUCAAAACCUCACGUAAUAUCUGGACUACGACCCCAAAAUCCCAGAGCUGUUGAAAAGGUUUCAGAGCAGAGAGAGAAGGAAGAAGUUCAGAUCAUUUCUUCCAUCGAUCAGAUCGAGAUUUAAAGAGGAGCGGCAAAAGCAAAGGAGGUGGAUUAGCACCUGGGUGUCAUCCAGGACAGAUUACUGCUGAAUAUAAUCAGCAGUACAGGCGCAGAGAACAGGCGCAACAACGGAGAAACUUUAAUGCUAACACAAUGCUAACUUUUCCAAAGUGACGUGAGCGACUCUCUGUUAGCUGCUCUUCAUCAUCUGAGACCUCGGAGCAUCCGCUGGUCAGCAGAAGGAGGAAACGUGAUAGUGACAGGUGCAGGCGGCUAAAAUAGGAGCAGAAGAAGAAGAAGGGGGAGCGGCGUGUGAGAAAAAGAGGCGACAGAGAGAUAAUAAGAUAAUAUCGCAUGAGAAGAAGAAUCUGCAACAAAAGCAGAGGCUUUAAAAUUAAAUGUUGCAGA